rnacentral:rRNA from 1 species
GAUGAACGCUGGCGGCGUGCUUAACACAUGCAAGUCGAACGAAGCAUUUAGGACAGAUUACUUCGGUUUGAAGUUCUUUAUGACUGUGUGGCGGACGGGUGAGUAACUCGUGUGUGACCUGCCUUGUACUGGGGGAUAGCAGCUGGAAACGGCUGGUAAUACCGCAUAAGCGCACAAUGUUGCAUGACGUGGUGGGAAAAACUCCGGUGGGAUAAGAUGGACCCGCUUCGGUUUAGGUAGUUGGUGAGAUAACAGCCCACCAAGGCGACGAGCAGUAGCCGACAGGAGAGGGGGACCGGUCACAGUGGGACUGCGACACGGCCCAGACUCCUACGGGAGGGAGCAGUGGGGUAUAUUGCACAAUGAAGGAUACUCUGAUGCCGCGACGCCGCGUGAGUGAAGAAGUAAUUCGUUAUGUAAAGCCCUAUCAGCAGGGGAGAGAGUGACGGUACCUGACUAAGAAGCUCCGGCUAAAUACGUG